UCUCCACCAUGCAGCUCCAUACAGAUUCGGAAUGUACACUACGCGUGUUGUGUAUAACUCCUUGUAUCAGUUAGCUGCAGUAAAGAUAUUGCCGUAUAAGUGUGUCCUUUUGUGUAGUGCUGGGCUCACCAGAAGAUAGAAGUUGUACAUCGCCUCUGAGCCUCUAUUCUCGCCGUGUUUAAUGUCGAUGGUUCUGGUCAUACCGCCCCACGCACCCAACACAAUUACUCUCUCAUAUUCUCUCUUUUCCUCCCGGAUCUCCGUCCAGAUCUGCGCUCCCGCCACCCUAUAUCCGUUGCCAUGUGUGCAUCAUCUUCCUCUUCCUCUAAUCAGUUGUCCCUACUGCAAGAGGGGAGAUGUGGAAUGGUGGGUGUCCCACACCAAGCUGAACCCCAGGAGGCACUUCUACAAGUGUGGGCGUCACUGGAAAGGCAAAGGUUCUUUCAGAAGUGGGAAGAUGUCUAAAUCGAUGUUCUCAUAGCCAAGUGGCCCAAGCUGUUCAUACCUAUUGCCCAGCCUAAGAACAGUGGCAUCACUAUGAUCUUGAUCCUCAUCGUCGGUAUCCUCAACCUCUUUGUUGUUCUUCACCUUAGUCCGAAGAAGAACGGAAGCUGAAGCUGCUCCAAUGCUGAAUCUAAACCAGUGUUUAGGAUCUAGCCAACUAAUGAUUAUGCACUACCUAUUUCUGAAGUUUAGUUUGCCCAUAAUUGUCCCUUACAAUAUGUGUGUCUGCCAGUGCAGUUAAAUUUGUUUUCUAGUUAACCAUUUAUUCAGGGGAGAAUCAUAUGUUGAUCGCCUCCUGUAGUUUAUCAUGAGGUUAGCCUUACAGGUGGCACCAAAGUAUUGUAUGUGUUGUAAGCUUGUCCCCUAAUAUAUAUUUAUGUGAUAACUAUGAUUUGUGUUCUUU